rnacentral:sRNA from 1 species
GUCAAUAACCCCACCCUGUUGAGGGAUGGGGCUUGCAUAAACAACCAAUUAUGCGUGUUUGACUAGACCAUUUGAGCCGAAUUUUGGAACGAACGCUUGGAUGCUUCCCCAGUUCAAGUCUCUUCAAGACUGUGUUGUCAGUCGCUGUUAGACAGGACAUCUUAAAUUCGGUGGUCCAGGGGACGGGUCAAGUGCCCAAAUACUU